GAUCCUGGCUCAGGACGAACGCUGGCGGCGCGCCUAACACAUGCAAGUCGAACGAGCGAGAGGAGGUUUACUUUCUCAAGCGAGUGGCGAACGGGUGAGUAACGCGUGAGGAACCUGCCUCAAAGAGGGGGACAACAGUUGGAAACGACUGCUAAUACCGCAUAAGCCCACGACCCGGCAUCGGGUAGAGGGAAAAGGAGCAAUCCGCUUUGAGAUGGCCUCGCGUCCGAUUAGCUAGUUGGUGAGGUAAUCGG
rnacentral:rRNA from 1 species